rnacentral:rRNA from 1 species
UUGUCGGUUGAUCCCGCCGGACCCGACUGCUAUCAGAGUGGGAUUAAGCCAUGCGAGUUAACGUAGCAAUACGUGGCAUACGGCUCAGUAACACGUAGUCAACAUGCCCAGGGGACGUGGAUAACCUCGGGAAACUGAGGAUAAACCACGAUAGGCCAAGAUUUCUGGAAUGGAUCAUGGCUUAAAUCUAUAUGGCCCCUGGAUUGGACUGCGGCCGAUCAGGCUGUUGGUGAGGUAAUGGCCCACCAAACCUGUAACCGGUACGGGCUCUGAGAGGAGGAGCCCGGAGAUGGGCACUUAGACAAGGGCCCAGGCCCUAUGGGGCGCAGCAGGCGCGAAACCUCUGCAAUAAGCGAAAGCUUGACAGGGUUACUCUGAGUGAUUUCCGCUAAGGAAGUCUUUUGGCACCUCUAAAAAUGGUGCAGAAUAAGGGGUGGGCAAGUCUGGUGUCAGCCGCCGCGGUAAUACCAGCACCCCGAGUGGUCGGGACGAUUAUUGGGCCUAAAGCAUCCGUAGCCGGUCCUGCAAGUCCUCCGUUAAAUCCACCCGCUCAACGGUUGGGCCGCGGGGGAUACUACAGGGCUAGGAGGCGGGAGAGGCAAGCGGUACUCGAUGGGUAGGGGUAAAAUCCACUGAUCCAUUGAAGACCACCAGUGGCG